ensembl:snRNA U6 U6 spliceosomal RNA
CUGCUAGCUUCCUUGGCAGCACGUAUGCUAAAAUUGGAACGAUGUAGAGAAGAUUAGCAUGGCCCCUGUGCAAGGAUGACAAGCAAAUUUAGGAAGCAUUCCAUAUUUUU